UUUCUUUUCUUAAAGAUUCUUUCACUCAGUGUACCAAAAACGUUAUCAAGAAGAGUAAAGAAACAGAAAAACCUGAAAAAGAAAUCGUCAUGUCUCGUCUGAUAUUCUUCUACUGUCUAUUGCUUCUACCUGUUAGUAGUGGCGUGUCGGUUGGUACCUGUGAUGAAGCAUGUUGGGAAUACGGUGAUGAUGGUGUUGUUUAUGGCUGUCCUGAGGGCUACGAGUGUAGGUCAAACGGCUGUGGUCAUCAUUGUGUGGCUAUUAGGACAUAAACCCAACAAAGGCGACUUUAUGGAGUCGUGUUGUGAAUGUUGAAAUCAUACAUGAAGAAAGUUGAUUACAUUAAAUCAGUUAAAUUUCA